CUGAGGGGAAACACCCGUACCCAUCCCGAACACGAUGGUUAAGACCUUAGCGGCCGAUGGUACUGUACUGGAGACGGUGUGGGAGAGCAGGUGGCUGCCA
rnacentral:rRNA from 1 species